rnacentral:rRNA from 1 species
CGGGCAACCGUUAUGAAGACAGCUGAAGACUUUUCUCAAUGAUGUAAGUGGUGGUGCAUGGUCGUUCUUAGUUCGUGGAUUGAUUUGUCUGGUCUAUUCCGAUAACGAGCGAGACCCCGACGUUCCUAAUAGGGGUGGCAGCCCGGCUCGUCCGCCUCGGUGGACUUGCUAGCAGCCGCCUAAUUAGCUUCUUAGACGUAUCAGAGCCGAUAAGGUUCUUGAAAUGGGUUAAUAACAGGUCAGUCAUGCCCUUAGAUGUUCUGGGCCGCACGCGCGUUACAAUGGUAUACAUUAGAACGUGCUCUCAAGGGCGUUUCCGCAGCCGACGGGUUGCGGUAACCCCUAAUCUCUCCCUUGACUGGGACAGACUAUUGCAAUUAUUGGUCUCCAACGAGGAAUUUUUAGUAGUCGCAGGUCAUUAACCUGCGACGAAUGCGUCCCUGCCCUUUGUUUAAGACGGCACUGGAAGGCACUCGGCACACCUCUGGCAGGGUGUGUUGGGAGCUAGAAGGUGCUUUCUGCCAGCCAGGUACUAGAAGGCCGCCGACACCCUCUGGCAGGGGUGUUAGCAGCUGGAAGGUGCUUGUUCAGGGGGCAAAAAGGGGGACUCUAACAAGGGUCUCUCUAGUCCGGCCUUGCGAGGAUGCUCCUAACCAACGGCCCUUUCGGGGGCUGUUAAGCUGGGGUGACUUCAACGGGCGAGCUCGAACCGACGAGCAUGCAGCCUUGUGUGGGAGGGAGGAGGAAGAGCACCCUUGACUGGGAGCACUACCAUCUCCUUCCCAAGCUACCACAGGGCAGCUGGGCGACAUUGGCAAACUGCGGGAACGUCUGAACGCCGUCCAUCUACCAACCGGGUCGCUUGAAAAGGCGUCCGGGGCCAGGGACAAUUCCCCUGGGUACGGUAACAACGAUGGGCGACAGGACUACCUGCAGCCAAGCCCUUCAUCGGGGAGGACCUUCGGGACCUUCCCUUUGGUGGGUGCAGUUCACAGACCAAACGCUAGUGGGUGGUGAAACGGGGUGUACGCCCUGGAUCUGCUUAAGAUAUGGUCGAGCUACCGGGCAAAAGGCAAAGGAGACCCCCCCGCCAGGGGUG